GAAUAUAACUAAACUAUAUGUAAGCUGAAGCACUUAACAAGGAGGGAACAUGGCCCUGAAAGGAAUCAUACAAAACUUUUGGCAUUUUACAGGUUAACAGCUUCUUAUGAAUUACUAUAUGUUGGCAUUUAUUUAAAAACAGCGAUUAACAAGAGUUCAUAGGAUCAUAAUGAAGCUCGGAGAUGAUUUUGAUGGAUCUUUGGGGCCAAAAUAAUGGAUAGGAGUUGGAGGGACGACCGAAGAUAUCCUUGUAUUUAUUAUUUUCUCUAUUUGUUGUGGUACUGUGGCAGACAUAUUGGAGUUCAUGUGUGGGGUUCCCUAGUUUUCUGUGGCCCUAUUUCCCCUACACUUAUGAUAAUAAGCCCGUAGCGUGUUAUGGCAAUACUAUGAUCAGCAGAGAAGGUUGGGAGCGCGCUGUCUAGAAGGUGAGUGUGGGUCGUUAACUAUGAGAUUAUUGGAGGGCUACGGUGCAACCCGAAAACACAACGGGUAAUCAACCCGUCGAUUAGGUUAAUGGAGGGUUACGGAGCUACCCGAAAACAUAACAGGUAAUAUACCCGUCGGGGCAAUUGAGUCGGUGUAACCGUAUGUCUUGCUGGGCUACCAUGUUUUUUGUAAAUGUCUGAUAAACUGCAAUAAAAUAAUUUCAAAAGA